rnacentral:tRNA from 1 species
UCCCUGGUGGCUCAGUGGUAAAGAAUCCGCUUACCAGUGCAGGAGACACAGGUUCGAUCCCUGUUCUGGGAA